AGAGUUUGAUCAUGGCUCAGGACGAACGCUGGCGGCGUGCUUAACACAUGCAAGUCGAACGGAAAGGCCCUUCGGGGUACUCGAGUGGCGAACGGGUGAGUAACACGUGGGUGAUCUGCCCUGCACUUUGGGAUAAGCCUGGGAAACUGGGUCUAAUACCGAAUAUGACUACGCACUUCCUGGUGUGUGGUGGAAAGCUUUUGCAGUGUGGGAUGGGCCCGCGGCCUAUCAGCUUGUUGGUGGGGUAAUGGCCUACCAAGGCGACGACGGGUAGCCGGCCUGAGAGGGUGACCGGCCACACUGGGACUGAGAUACGGCCCAGACUCCUACGGGAGGCAGCAGUGGGGAAUAUUGCACAAUGGGCGCAAGCCUGAUGCAGCGACGCCGCGUGAGGGAUGACGGCCUUCGGGUUGUAAACCUCUUUCAGCACAGACGAAGCGCAAGUGACGGUAUGUGCAGAAGAAGGACCGGCCAACUACGUGCCAGCAGCCGCGGUAAUACGUAGGGUCCGAGCGUUGUCCGGAAUUACUGGGCGUAAAGAGCUCGUAGGUGGUUUGUCGCGUUGUUCGUGAAAACUCACAGCUUAACUGUGGGCGUGCGGGCGAUACGGGCAGACUGGAGUACUGCAGGGGAGACUGGAAUUCCUGGUGUAGCGGUGGAAUGCGCAGAUAUCAGGAGGAACACCGGUGGCGAAGGCGGGUCUCUGGGCAGUAACUGACGCUGAGGAGCGAAAGCGUGGGGAGCGAACAGGAUUAGAUACCCUAGUAGUCC
rnacentral:rRNA from 1 species